rnacentral:rRNA from 1 species
UGGGGAAUUUUGGACAAUGGGCGCAAGCCUGAUCCAGCAAUGCCGCGUGAGUGAAGAAGGCCUUCGGGUUGUAAAGCUCUUUUGUCAGGGAAGAAACGGCCUGGGCUAAUAUCCUGGGCUAAUGACGGUACCUGAAGAAUAAGCACCGGCUAACUACGUGCCAGCAGCCGCGGUAAUACGUAGGGUGCAAGCGUUAAUCGGAAUUACUGGGCGUAAAGCGUGCGCAGGCGGUUUUGUAAGUCUGACGUGAAAUCCCCGGGCUCAACCUGGGAAUUGCGUUGGAGACUGCAAGGCUGGAGUCUGGCAGAGGGGGGUANAAUUCCACGUGUAGCAGUGAAAUGCGUAGAGAUGUGGAGGAACACCGAUGGCGAAGGCAGCCCCCUGGGUCAAAGACUGAGCUCAUGCACGAAAGCGUGGGGAGCAAACAGGAUUAGAUACCCUGGUAGUCCACGCCCUAAACGAUGUCUACUAGUUGUCGGGUUUUAAUUAACUUGGUAACGCAGCUAA